CUUCUGCUGAUAUUUCCAGUAGGUUAUUAUAUCUUAAGCUUGUCCUAUGGUACUUUCUAAUUUUCUUUUUAUGGUUCUACUUAAGCUUCUUGACUAUAAAAAUCUAUACUAUUAUAAAUGAUUUUAAAAGCGAUCGUCAGAUUUGACUGGGUUUUAGGCAAAUUUCCGGAAAUGCCUCUGUCCUUGUGCUUGCUUCUCAAUUCUCUUUAACUGGGUUUUUGGGCAAAUUAUCUGAGAUUCUUUUUCCUUUCAUUUUUUCUGUUAAAAUUACACUUUUGCUAUUUGUUUUGGUGAGUUUAUUCUACAAAUUUCUUUGUUAAUUUAGAUCUUAUUCCUAAUUGUUGCAUGUUGGGUAUUGUUUUUCCGCUUCUUUUGAUGAAAGAUUUGUUAGUUUGCUAUUAGUUUUGCUGAUUUUAUUCUACUGGGUAUUGUUUUUCCUCUUCCUUUGAUGAAAAAACUGUUUGUUUGCUGUUAGUUUUGGUGAUUUUUUACUGAAUUUUUACAUGUAUGUCAAUAAUUUGAUCUGAUUCACUCUUGCAUGCUUCAAAAUAGACUCAUAGGUGAUCUUUUUGAGCGGCUGGUGAAUGUCAAUCCCAAUUUUUUUGGGCACUGAAAGCAUCUCAGUGACAAAGCCCUUCUAUCAUUGUCGUUUUGAUGGGUUAAAUUGCCUUUGCUUCAACCAAUUAAUGCUUUGUUUAAGCUCUUUAAGUGUUUUUAUUAUGUGCUUAACUAAUAUUUGGAACAGAGAAUGUCCUCAAACGAAGAUAUUGCGGUGCGUAGAGCUGAAGAGAUUAAGGAACAAUGACGAUCUGAAAGAAAGAUUAUUCAGCUGGCCACUGCGGUAUGAUCUACGCAAGGUUACAAAAUGAAAAGCCAUUUUCGUCGAGGACAAUGGAUGAUGAUGAGGUGCUUUGACACAGAGGGAGUAUCCUACAUCCUGUAGAAUAAUCUAUGUAAUGGUUAAUGGCAUAUGCUGAUAAAUCUGUUUACAUGUUCUUACUUCUCAUGUCGGACCAGCCGCCACCAAGCUUUGAGGAAAUGUGGAGGUUACAAGACAAGAAUGUUGAAACAAACUCAGUGUAAUCUGAUAGGUUUGAAAUGGAGAUUAGCUUUGUAAUAUUUGCCUCUCGAAGUCACACUUCAAUCUUCAAGGGCCUUCAACAGGGCAGUGUGCAGCGAACUCUUGCAAGUCGAUGAAACCACCGCAGUCAGUGUCAACCUCUAGCACCAUCGUCGUUUGGGUGACACAUCAUGUAAGUUUCUCUAUAUAUGAUACCCGAGAAUCAAGAAAUUGAUAAGACAAGCGUUUUUGUGUUUGAUAGAAUUUUGGAACGACACCUUUCACCCCUUUUCCUUAUUUAUUUUGGAGUAGCAGUUAAAAGCUUAUCAAUAUGGGAUUUGUAAGCGGGUUUUUUCCUAUUUUUCCCGGGGAAAUUUCCAAAAAUUGUGGUAAAAGAUAAGUUAGGCUUCAGACGGUGGCUAUGUAUAUCUGUAGCAAAAGAAUUAUCGGUGGUUGAAUGAUGGAACAGGAGUGUUUGAACGGUGAUCAAAGAUGAAGAGUAGUACUCAGUUUAUUGCAGAAACUUAAUACAUGCCUAAUUUAUGAACUUCAACAUUUAAAAACGAAGCGAAGAUGAGAAAAUUUAUAUUACGUAAAUUUUCCCUAUAAAGUAAGUGUAACUUCUAUUCCCCAAUUGAGAGAAUUAUCUGAGAACUUUAUAAAAUUAUAAAUGCUGAGCAAUGCAUUAUAUAUAUGUAUGUAUUUGUUUUCUUCUGUUUUACUUCUUCACGAUGUAUAUUUUCAAAUACAUUUGAUUAUAAUUUUUUUCAUAUAUAUAUAUAUAACUUUUUCCCCCAUCUUUGUCAACUAAAUUUACACAAACAAAUGUUUGACCGCGCGAAGCGCGGAUUGAUUAACUAGUUUAUAUUAUAUUCUCGCACUUUUCUAACAAAUCUUGCAGGAAAAGAAUACAUGGAAAAGAGAAGAAGCAAAAACUAAAAGCCAAGAAAGGAGGAUGCAUCCGUGACAACUUCACCAAAGACUAUACAAAGUCAAGAGAAACAAAGUUAUGACAAAUUCUCACCAAAAUUUCAUGAUAAAUUAUCAUGCCAAAUUCUCAAGAUUGCAUGAUAAUUUGCCAUGCCAAUUUCUCAAGAUUGCAUGAUAAUUUGCCAUGCCAAUUUCUCAUCAAGGAAAUAUUAUUAUAUUGAAUUUCUCUUGCAAUGUCUCUCCAAGACUUCUAGGAAUUUUUCUAUAAAUAGGCAUAUGUUUGUAGAAGAAAAAAAACUAAUCUUUCAUCUUAUUUGCAUCCAAGAGUGAAGAGGACACAAGAACUAGUCUUGGUGUCUCUCUUGGCUCUUUCUUGUAGAAAAAAAAUAUUCUCUUAGUCUUUAUUUGCAUUUAGUUUUCUACUCCAUAAUGGAGUAAGUUUCCUUGGUUGGGAUA